CCAUUUGCAAUGCUUUACUAUCUGACAAGAUUUUUAUAAUAGGAAUCCAAAUCACAUGUUGUAAUGGGGCCAGGUAUACUAGUGUUUUGUAGUUUGCUAAUUCUUGAGCCUGACUGAAGAGAACAUCCUAUAGACAGUGACGUGUCAGUACGUGCCAGUUAACUUGUUUAAGACCGGAACUAAUUGUGCCGUUGACUUUGAUGCUGGCAGAUGUUUGAGACACACCUGAGCAGGAGAGCUCAGAGUUAAUCUGAUGACUGUAAGAUGUGUUGUCUUCCCAGUUCUCUACCAAGGUGUACCGGAGGCAGGCGGCAACCAGACUGGCAGUGUUGGAGGAGGCAGCGAAAGGGAGGACAGCUUCUUAUCAGAGGGAGAUCCUUCACCUGCAGAGGCUGCUAAGAGAAAGACAGGAGGCUGAGGAGAGACUACUGCAGUCCAAACGGGAGGUAGAGGAAGAGUUGGAAGUGGUGUGGCAGGCAGCAACCAGGGAAAACCAGCAGAUGAGGGAGACUCUUUUGGACUCAAAGCUCACUGCAGACCUCCACGGUGGGGCCGUGGAGGCAAAAUCUGACUCGGAUCACCAAAACAACUCCUUUGAUGGGAAGCAUAAGCAUGGGCUGGAUUUCUAUUGCUAAAACGCUUGGAGUCAUAAACCGUCUGUGUUCACACAUACUGGCAAAACAGACAGGGUAGAAAUAUGUAGAUGAAUUACAGUCCUGAACAUGUCAACGCACACCCAUCUUAAACCAUAACCAUCCUCUGUGACGGUCUGGGUAAAGUAAAAAAAGACUUCUGUUUUCUAAACAAAGAUUUUUGUAAUCUUUAAAAAAAACAUUUAGUCUCAGGGUUUUACAGACCAUGCCAAGUAAAAGAGAUUAGAACAAAUAUCCACAGUAGUGGUGGAAGUUGCAUUACCUAGCAUCAUUAAGGCUCUUGUGUCAUACAGAACAUAGCAAAUGUUGCCACCUGGUGGACACAUAUGGUAAUGGCAUUAUCAAUGGAUCAUUACAUGGUACAGAACAGGCAGACAUGGAAAAAACACAAAUUGUUGCAGUAAAAUAAGUUUUUAUAAACAGAGAAAUGCACAGAUGUUAGAUACAUGAUUGGCUCUAUUUUCAUAUUAUUAUUACCUUUGUUAACUAUAAGAUUAUAUUUUUGACCAUGACUGAUAUGCACUGACUUGAGUGGUGGAGUAACUUUUUGGCUACUGGGUAAAUAAUAAAGCAACAUUUCCUUGGU